GUUACCCGCCCUUCUCUGGUGGCUGCGAGGCGCAGGGGUCGGGGCACCGCGCCGCGACUAAUCAAUGGUAUUAGUCUCUUAUUGAGCAAGGCAUCGCACACCUGCGUUUGCCAUCUUCUCCACUUCUCUUUUUGGCAGCAAGCAAAGGGGGUUGACCCCCAAAGGCGACCUGUUUCAUGUGAUUUGCAGAUAAAGCCUCAGGUGGCCGGUUCAACCAGACAGCAAAGACAAGCGACAUCUCCCAUUAAUCCCUUUUCAGCAAGGGAGUCAGCAUCCUGGGUGACCAGCUCGGAGGCACUCAACACGCGGCGGGCACAAGAGAACCACUGCAGAAAUGAACGGGGGCAGCAGCAGAUGUGGGGAACCUGGAUAUGAAAUGACGGGAGAGAGAGGAGAAACAGCGCAGUGGGGAGAACUGGGCAGUGCCACACCGUAGCUCAGGCUUCAGAGUGUGAAAGGCUGUCAGUGCUCGACCCUUUUGCGAGCAGGGCAGCACCACACCGCAGCUCGGCAAGAUGAGCCUGAGAGCAGACAGCGGAGACCUCCCGGCCCUUGCCCGCUACAGGCCCAGAUGGUGCGUAAGGGAGAGCUGCGGAUGGAGGCCCGUGGACCUUGCCCACAGACAACCCAAAUGGCACCUUAAGGGAGGACUGCAGAUGGAUGCCCAUGGACCUCACCCGCUGCUGACCCAAAUGGCACCAUAAGGGAAAGGAGCAGAGACUUCCAGGCCUGACUGCUGCCGACCCCCUGGAUCACCGGCAGAGCAAUCACAGGCAUUGGGCCACCAGAUGAAGCCAUGACAGACUGGGGCAAGGAUCCUACAUCUAGUGUUGGAAUUUAGAUUAAAAGAGGAAACCACAUUUGGGAUUUCUGCGAUUAAGCCCCACUUCCACGGAAGGACAUAGCCAAUUCGUACAACAUGCGACUCAUUUUAUGUGAAAAAAGUGACAAUGUUAAUGAAAUGAAAGAAAAAAUCAGAAAAAAAAAAUUGCAAGAUUGCCGACCUCCAAGUGUUUGCCAUUGUUAACUAGGGGAGUCUUCUCUAGAGAAAGUUACAAUUUCAUUUUAAAUAAUCACACACUUGAAGACCGAAAAUCAUUUUGCAAGAACUUUAUUUUGAAAAACAUGGAGUUAAAAUACCAUUUCCAUUCUCCUGUGGGGAUGAUAAAGUUUCAUAUAAAACAAUGAACAAAAAUAUUUGGUACAAAUAUUCAUAAAAGGGUAAUGGAAUCCACAUUUACAGUUGUGAAAUUUAUCUACAUUUAUCUGUAAUUAAAAGAAAUCAAACAUUAAAAAGGAUCUCUUGGUCAAAGCA